CCAUCCUGAUUCUGGUUUCCUUCAAGGCAAAGGUUUUCUUGAGAUAAUGAUGAUCUAGACAACCCUGUCUUGAUUGAUACCAGGGUCAGAUUAUAACUAAGAGG
rnacentral:pre_miRNA from 1 species